GCUUCCUGUCAGCAACAUCCUUCUGUUCUUUGAAUAAUCCACAAUAAAUAAAUAUUGUUUUGCUUGAUUAAAGGUGUUACGUGUGUGGAUAUGUUUGUGUGUGUGUGUGUAUAUAGAGUGGCCUUUUAUUGUGGCCAACCUAAGGCACACCUUUGCAAAAAUUAUGCUGUCUAAUCAGCAUCUUGAUAUGCCACAUCUGUGAGGUGGAUGGAUUAUCUCAGCAAAGGAGAAGUGCUCACUAACACAGAUUUAGAC